GAGCGAAGGGGGGCUAGCGUUGUUCGGAAUUACUGGGCGUAAAGCGAGUGUAGGUGGUUGUCCAAGUUGGAUGUGAAAGCCUUGAGCUCAACUCAAGAAAUGCAUUCAGGACUGGGCGGCUAGAGGACCGGAGAGGAUAGUGGAAUUCCCAGUGUAGUGGUGAAAUACGUAGAGAUUGGGAAGAACACCAGUGGCGAAGGCGGCUAUCUGGACGGUUUCUGACACUAAGACUCGAAAGCGUGGGGAGCAAACAGG
rnacentral:rRNA from 1 species